AAGCAUCCUCCUCCCAGGCACCAGGCUUUUGUCAUGUAGGCAGGGAGGAAAAUCCCCCCUCCCUUAGGAAUUCAACCCCAGUGUCUCAAGCUGACAGGGACAGAUUCCUGGGGAGAGACACAGAUGGUGGCAUUUCUACCACAAAU